rnacentral:rRNA from 1 species
UACAGAGGCCUCGAGCGUUAGGCGGAAUCACUGGGCUUAAAGCGUGUGUAGGCGGAUUGCUAAGUACCUUGUGAAAUCCCACGGCUUAACCGUGGAACGGCUUGGUAUAGCUGCAGUCUUGAGCCACUCAGGGGCAACCGGAACAAACGGUGGAGCGGUGAAAUGCGUAGAUAAUCGUUUGGAACGCCAAAGGGUGAAAACAGGGUUGCU